rnacentral:rRNA from 1 species
GACGAACGCUGGCGGCGUGCUUAACACAUGCAAGUGGAGCGACGAACCAGGCUUCGGCCUGGGGCAAAGCCGCGAACGGGUGAGUAACACGUGGGUAACCUGCCCCGAUGAUUGGGACAACCCGAGGAAACUCGGGCUAAUACCGAAUGUGCCCUCCGGCCUCAAGGCCGCUGGGGAAAGGAAGCUUCGGCCUCCGCAUCGGGAUGGGCCCGCGGCCCAUUAGCUUGUUGGUGAGGUAACGGCUCACCAAGGCUGCGAUGGGUAGCUGGUCUGAGAG